CGGCAGCACAGUAAGAGCUUGCUCUUAUGGGUGGCGAGUGGCGCCCUUUUGAGGAAUACAUCGGAAUCUACUCUUUCGUGGGGGAUCUUUUAGGGAAACUUACGCUAAUACCGCAUACGACCUACGGGUGAAAGCGGAGGACCUUCGGGCUUCGCGCGAUUGAAUGAUCCGAUGUCGGAUUACCUAGUUGGCGGGGUAAAGG
rnacentral:rRNA from 1 species